UUUGAAAAAGUGGUCUGUGGUAUCUGGCUCUCGAGAUUCGGAGAACGAUGCCUCUUCGAUUUUUGAGAAAGCAAUCAUGCUGGGGGUAUGACUCUCGAGAUUCGGAGAGCAGUGUCUCUUCGAUUUUUGAGGAAGUAAUCAUGUUGGGAGUCUGGCUCUCGAGAUUCGGAGGGUGGUGCUUCUUCGAUUUUGGAGCAAGCAAUCUUGUUGGGAGUGUUGUCUCGAAUGUGAGUAUAGGUUGGGCAUGUUUGCUAGUCUACCUUGCCACGAAGCACAAAGGUUGACCACACAGGGACUUUCCAAUUAUCCAGCAAUGGUACUGUUCCUUUACCCUCUCUUCGAUUUUGAGAAAGUAGUCAUGUUGGGAGUCUGGCUCUCGAGAUUCGGAGGACGGUGCCUCUUCGAUUUUUGGAGCAAGCAAUCUUAUUGGGAGUGUUUUCUCGAAUGUGAGUAAAAGGUUGGGCAUGUUUGCUAGUCUACCUUGCCACGAAGCACAGAGGUUGACACACAGGGACUUUCCAAUUAUCCAGCAGUGGUACUGUUCCUUUACAGUUGUGGGUAAUAAUAUGGUAGCUAGACCUUCAAAAUUUAUGUGUCUAAACUUUUGUUAGUGCUGUUUCUUUGCUAUUCUUUUACCUUUCUUGGUCAGAGCGAUGUAGUGGGAGCUGCAAGCUUCACGUGCUCAACUUUGGCAGAGAACUUUGGCAAAGUUAUUUGUGGUACCCAUGAGCUAUUGUUGCGUGUGGGAAGUGGGUGAUUGAACAGUAAGAUUCAUGUGCUUUCUACUUCACCAGAAGUCUUUCGACAGAAUGCCCAUAAUUUCUGCAAAGCUGAGUGUGCGUGUGACAGGUGUUGACAAGGUUAGAAAAAGUAGGUGCCUCUUCGAUUUCUGAGAUCGGGCCCUCGUGGUCUCUGAGCAGCCCAGCUUUUGAGAAAGCGAGCGCCUCUUCGAUUGAUUCGGAGAACGAUGCCUCAUCGAUUUUUGAGAAAAGCAAUCAUGAUGGGGGUCUGGCUCUCGAGAUUCGGGGAGCAGUGUCUCUUCGAUUUUUGAGAAAAAGUAAUCAUGUUGGGAGUCUGGCUCUCGAGAUUCGGAGGGCGGUGCCUCUUCGAUUUUGGAGCAAGCAAUCUUGUUGGGAGUGUUUUUCUCGAAUGUGAGUAAAGGUUGGGCAUGUUUGCUAGUCUACCUUGCCACGAAGCACAGAGGUUGACACACAGGAACUUUCCAAUUAUCCAGCAAUGGUACUGUUCCUUUACCCUCUCUUCGAUUUUUUAAGAAAGUAGUCAUGUUGGGAGUCUGGCUCUUGAGAUUCGGAGGACGGUGCCUCUUCGAUUUUGGAGCAAGCAAUCUUAUUGGGAGUGUUUUCUCGAAUGUGAGUAAAGGUUGGGCAUGUUUGCUAGUCUACCUUGCCACGAAGCACAGAGGUUGACACACAGGGACUUUCCAAUUAUCCAGC
rnacentral:lncRNA from 1 species